AUGACCUGGGCGACUAUGAAAGAGGAUCUAAGAGAAGCGGAAACAUGGCCAGAUGGAGAUGAAGCAGCUAGGGAGAAGGAAGUAUGGAGAUACAGGCACGCCAAGGUGGGCCAAGUGACCAGGCACAGACAGCCAGAAGCCCAGAAGCAAAUGGAGAUGGAGACCAGUGUCGCAAUGGGCAGCAAAAAGAAAACAAGGAGAUGUACUGUAAAAAGUGAGUGGAAGGCUUGUCUCUAAGCCAGAGGGACUCCUUUGCACAAGCGUCUAACUUCAUGACUUCCCCCACAAGAUGCCACAGGCCUGAUCAUGCAGGACCACGCUCAGCCACCCAGACCUUGGUAGGAGUACCUGGCCCGUGGCUGCUGAGCACCUUGGGCACCGAGGUCCACUUUUGCCACGGAGACUUCCCCACCAGCUCCAAGCCAUGAGGAAAAGAGAGAGGAGAGAAAAGCUGCCGAAGAAACACUAACCCACAUCCUCCCGGCCCCCACCCCAUGCCCCACUUCCAGUAGACCAGGGAACCCCU
rnacentral:lncRNA from 1 species